rnacentral:misc_RNA from 1 species
GCAUGAUCCUCGUGAAUCUCAUUUAGAAGUUGUUUUUCACAUUCUAAGAUAUCUGAAAUCUGUCCUUGGAAGAGGACUUCUUUUCUCAAAGUACAGACAUCUUCAAAUAAAGGCCUUUACAGAUGCAGAUUGCACUAAAUCUUUUAAUAAUAGAAGAUCAAUGAUAGAAGGUCAACAACGGGUUAUUGUAUUUUUGUUGGUGGUAACCUGGUCAUUUGGAGAAGUAAGAAACAAAGUGU